rfam:Brassica napus, WGS project CCCW01000000 data, contig: 24701
GGGAUAUAAGAACCCGUCUCUUAACUUUUAACUAAAAAAACUAAGAACCGGUUCUUAAAUAAGAGUUUUAAGAGCUGAUUCUUAACUUUUUUUAGUUAAAAAUUAAGAGACGGAUUCUUAUAUUCU